rnacentral:lncRNA from 1 species
GCACUAGUUUGGGCAAUUUAAGGAAGUUCUGGUAUCCCUUUUACAGUAGAUUUUUAAGAACAGAAUUUUUUUUUCUGUCUGAAAUGAUUUACUCAACCCUCCUUAGAGAAACAUCAAUCACUGUGAUAAGGACAGUCUUCUCAAUAAAUUUUAUGUAGAAAUUUUUAGCAUCAUUGUACCUUGGGAAAACUAAGCUUCAAUGACUUGACAAUAUUCAACUUAAAUGCCAUGGAGCCAAUACUCAAACUCCAAGAACUGAGAGGUAUCCAGUGCUAAAACCACCCUGUAAAUCAAACUGCAGGCCUAGUCUUGGUAAUAUUCAGAGGGUCAAUUAUAAAUCAACACAGAGUAAAUAAUGUGUUGGGAUGCAGCAAAGAACCUGACUUCACAAAUAAUCCAGUCAGUUCUGUCAGAAGUCAGUAGAUAGCAAUCCUGAUCUCUAAGAUAUUAAAACAUUUAUUCAUUUUUUAAUUUAUUCAGCAAAUAGUUGUGGACAUCUAUUAAAUACUGGUGCUGUCUCUAGGUGCUGGGAACACAGCAGAGACCAAAGCAGAUAAGUAAGGUACUUGCCUUCAUAGAGUUUAUACUCCAGAGAGUGUAAAUAGAUAAUGAAAAGUAAAAACAACUGCUGUAGACAUUUACUAAGUGCUUAUGUGUACCAGACAUGUCCUAAAAAUGUGUAAUCUUCAUAACAUCCCAGUACUAUUAUUACAAACAUAGCAGAGAAGGAAAAUCCACCAUGGGGAAGUUAAAUGACUUGGUUUAGGUAAGACAACUAAAAGCAGUAAAAAUAGGCUGCUUGGGUCUGGAGCCCAUGUUUUUAAUUAUCUCAUUGCAAAAAUUUCAGUUAAUCUGGAGUGGGAAAUUUUUCUCAAGAUUCAACUGCCACCAUUCUGUCGAAGGAAGGAAGGAAGGAAGGAAGGAAGGAAGGAAGGAAAGGGAAGAUAAGAAAAGAAAGAAAAAAAAGAAAGGAAGGAAGGAAAAAAGAAAUGUUGAUUUGACAGAGCAAAAAGGAAAGAAGGAAGACCAGUACUUUGGAAGGGUAGAAGAUAAUCAAGUCUUCUAA